rnacentral:rRNA from 3 species
UAAUCUGCGAUAAGCGCCGGUAAGGUGAUAUGAACCGUUAUAACCGGCGAUACCCGAAUGGGGAAACCCAGUGUGAUUCGUCACACUAUCAUUAACUGAAUCCAUAGGUUAAUGAGGCGAACCGGGGGAACUGAAACAUCUAAGUACCCCGAGGAAAAGAAAUCAACCGAGAUUCCCCCAGUAGCGGCGAGCGAACGGGGAGGAGCCCAGAGCCUGAAUCAGCAUGUGUGUUAGUGGAAGCGUCUGGAAAGGCGCGCGAUACAGGGUGACAGCCCCGUACACAAAAGCGCAUGUGCUGUGAGCUCGAUGAGUAGGGCGGGACACGUGGUAUCCUGUCUGAAUAUGGGGGGACCAUCCUCCAAGGCUAAAUACUCCUGACUGACCGAUAGUGAACCAGUACCGUGAGGGAAAGGCGAAAAGAACCCCGGCGAGGGGAGUGAAAAAGAACCUGAAACCGU